rnacentral:rRNA from 1 species
AGGACGAACGCUGGCGGCGUGCUUAACACAUGCAAGUCGAGCGGAAAGGCCCUUCGGGGUACUCGAGCGGCGAACGGGUGAGUAACACGUGAGUAAUCUGCCCCUAGCUCUGGGAUAGCUCCGGGAAACCGGGAUUAAUACCAGAUACGACCACUUUAGACAUCUGCUGUGGUGGAAAGAAUUUCGGCUGGGGAUGGACUCGCGGCCUAUCAGCUUGUUGGUGGGGUAAUGGCCUACCAAGGCGACGACGGGUA